UUGACCAGCAACAGGGGUCGGUGUGUC
rnacentral:piRNA from 1 species